rnacentral:rRNA from 1 species
CUACGGGGGGCAGCAGUGGGGAAUAUUGCACAAUGGAGGAAACUCUGAUGCAGCAACGCCGCGUGGAGGAUGACACUUUUCGGAGCGUAAACUCCUUUUAUAUAGGAAGAUAAUGACGGUACUAUAUGAAUAAGCACCGGCUAACUCCGUGCCAGCAGCCGCGGUAAUACGGAGGGUGCAAGCGUUACUCGGAAUCACUGGGCGUAAAGAGCGUGUAGGCGGGUUAAUAAGUCAGAAGUGAAAUCCUAUGGCUCAACCAUAGAACUGCUUUUGAAACUGUUAACCUAGAAUAUGGGAGAGGUAGAUGGAAUUUCUGGUGUAGGGGUAAAAUCCGUAGAGAUCAGAAGGAAUACCGAUUGCGAAGGCGAUCUACUGGAACAUUAUUGACGCUGAGACGCGAAAGCGUGGGGAGCAAACAGGAUUAGAUACCCCGGUAGUC